CGCAUGAAAGAGAAAGGAAAGUUUUAACGCUUAAGGAGGGACUUAUGUCUGAUUAGCUUGUUGGUAAGGUAACGGCUUACCAAGGCUUUGAUCAGUAGCUGGUCUGAGAAGAUGAACAGCCACAUUGGGACUGAGAUACGGCCCAGACUCCUACGGGAGGCAGCAGUGAGGAAUAUUGCGCAAUGGGGGAAACCCUGACGCAGCGACGCCAUGUGAGUGACGAAGUCUUUAGGGAUGUAAAGCUCUGUCAAGAGGGACGAUUAUGACGGUACCUCUAAAGGAAGCCCCGGCUAAUUACGUGCCAGCAGCCGCGGUAAUACGUAAGGGGCAAGCGUUACUCGGAAUUAUUGGGCAUAAAGAGUAUGUAGGCGGCGAUUUAAGUCAGGUAUUAAAGACUUAAGCUCAACUUAAGUAUGUAUUUGAAACUGAAUUGCUAGAGGUCAGAAGAGGGAAGCGGAAUUUACGGUGUAGCGGUGGAAUGCGUAGAUAUCGUAAAGAACACCAGUUGCGAAGGCGGCUUCCUGGUCUGACUCUGACGCUCAAGUACGAAAGCAUGGGGAGCAAACGGGAUUAGAUACUCCGGUAGUCCAUGCUGUAAACGUUGUUCACUAGGUGUAGGAAGUAUCGACCCUUUCUGUACUACAGAUAAUUCGUUAAGUGAACCGCCUGAGGAGUACGAUCGCAAGAUUAAAACUCAAAGGAAUUGACGGGGACCCGCACAAGCAGUGGAGCAUGUGGUUUAAUUCGACGAUACACGAAGAACCUUACCAGGGCUUGACAUCUGUGGAAUCUCUUGGAAACAAGAGAGUGCCGGAAACGGAGCCACAAGACAGGUGGUGCAUGGCUGUCGUCAGCUCGUGUCGUGAGAUGUUAGGUUAAGUCCUGCAACGAGCGCAACCCCUAUCCUGUGUUGCCAGCACUUACGGUGGGAACUCACGGGAGACUGCCUGUGUAAAGCAGGAGGAAGGUGGGGAUGACGUCAAGUCAUCAUGCCCCUUACGCCCUGGGCUACACACAUGCUACAAUGGUCGAUACAAAGAGUUGCGAAACCGCGAGGUGAAGCUAAUCUCAAAAAAUCGGUCUAAGUACGGAUUGUAGUCUGCAACUCGACUACAUGAAGCUGGAAUUGCUAGUAAACGCAUAUCAGACAUGUUGCGUUGAAUACGUUCUCGGGUCUUGUACACACCGCCCGUCACACCAUGAAAGUUAAAAACACCCAAAGACAAUGUCCUAACCCUUUUUGGGAAGUAGUUGUUUAAGGUGGGUUUAGCGAUUGGGGUGAAGUCGAACAAGGUA
rnacentral:rRNA from 1 species